UGUUACAAUAAUUAUUUAUUAAAUUUAAAAUAUCUUUAGCACAGGUUAAAAAUUAGACACUUCCAUCUACCAUGAGCGCCUUGGGUUUUAACAUGGUUCUAACAUGGUUGAAAAUAAACACUCUUAGAAACAAGACAAAACAAAACAAAAAAUCUUCUCAUUUACUCCAUUGCUGUAUUCAUAAAAUGUCACAUUAGAUUUGCUAGGGCAGAGGCAAAUUUGGCAUUUUGAUAAUGUUUUUUGUAUUUUUUUUUUUAUUAAUUUUUGAAUAAUGUUUUAGAAAUGAAGAAAAAACCUAUCAAACAUUUCAAAAUCUCUUUCCCUUGCAAGUCAUGAUUUGGAAAAUUUGAGUGAAAAUUGCUCGUUGUACCAGCUUUGGAGGUUUGCAUUCACCGAUCAGAAACAAAUGAAUGCCAUUUGGGAACGGCAUGCUUUAAAGCUGGUGAUUUUCAUUGAUGAGACAAAUGACAUGGCAGCCUAGUUUUUGCCACUUUUGAGCUAAAUGCCUUUGCCACUAUAUUUUAUUGGUUGUGGUUGACAUUAAGGACACAAAAGAUAAAUAAUUAGUUAAGUGUACGCAUGUGACCGUGCAGUGGCAAUAAAGAAACUGCUAACAGCAUGGUCAGACCGUCCCCUUCCCCUUGUCUUCUUAUUCCCCCCCAUCUCGUCUAUUCCACAAACCAGUGAUUUAUGGUCAUUUUCUUUGCCUCAGCCCUACCUUAUGAAAAACAAAGAAAAAAGAUAACAAGUAACAUGAGCAGAGCACUGUAGUAAAUGGCAGGCCGAUGCAUUAGUUAUCAGUAAGAAAACAUUAACAGCAAAGACAAAUAUUUUUUGUUUUGAAGUUGUUUACAAACCAUAUCCUUGUUCACAAUUUAUCAUGUUUUUCCCGUGUUUGCUUUUUGUCAUCGUUACAUGCCAUAUGAGAAGUCUGGAUUACAAAAGUACCUGAACAAAUUGCUUGUAUAUUAGCAUGCAUAGCUGUUUGGUAUUUACAUCCUAUUUACAGGCUUGAACUAAGGAGAGAGGGAUCUACAAUACGUUUCCUUUCAUGUGUUUCAUUUACAUUUCUAGGAUGGAGAACAAAAAGCAGCCUCAUACCGAUUUGCCGAGUACACAGGACAUGCACAUAAAAUAGAAUGUUUGCUUGGCUGAACAAAGUGUGUCACCCAUCUACGAAAAAGGGAAUAUCCCAGCUUUGUAACAGGCUGUGUCUCUGACCAGUGCUACCGCAUUGCAUAACACGCAUCUAUUUGUUUUUUUUUUUUUUCUUUGUCUGUAUUGCGCACCAGUCUCUGAGCACAGGGGGCUCGGAAAGGUUAAUUUACGAUGUUAACCGUGCCGUGAAGGGAAAAGCAAAUAGGAAAGAGCAUGCACAGCACCAGAGAAGGACAUUAAGCUGCGACUACAUCUUUCUCUUUCUUGCUCCCUCUAUCUGUCCAGUGCCAACAGUACCCCCCCUCCCCUGAUGUGUACAAAGACACAGGGCUAUCACCAUCCAUCAUCGGAGACAUACUGAGAGGAUCUUACGCCAGUGAUCAGGCUGUAAGUAGGCACUCACUACUGACAACUCAGUUUUUUUUAGCAGUGUGCCUGUCACACCCAGAGGAACAUGUUCAUAUCAACGUAACACAUGUGCAUGGAAAUAAAUUAAAGAGCCAUUUAAUGAAUGGAAUGGAGGAAAACACAGGAUACGUAAAUCGUACAAAAAGCAUAAAUAUCAUCACAUCUAUAAGCACAUUUAUGUCCCUUUUGUUAAAGGGGUACUUCUUUCUGUAGAAAGAGCGGAAGACGCGGAUAUAUUUAUUUGCAAUCCAGGGGCCGCGCAUGGGGCGUCGCAGUCAUUAAAGAUAUUGCUCAUUUACUGAGAAUAACAUCAGUAUCACAUCCUUAGUUCUCCCCGCUACUACAAGUCCUUUGUCCACCUCCAUCUCAUUUACAGUCAACCUCUAAUAUAGGCAAUCAGCAGCAAUAUACCCUCACUUGGGGGUCCAUAAACACUUGAUUUCACCGAACUGCCUUUGAUAAAGGAGGGAGGUGACUGCCAGAGCAUGUUAAUGUGCUUUCCCAUAAAGCUUAUCUCUGACUGGGGUCAUGAAGGCCAAGUGGCAAGGGGCUGAUCGCCAUAGCAAUAAGACCCUAGAAGCUGUUACCGCAGCUUACGACCCCUCUGACAAUAACCGAGCCGACCAAGGUCUACCUUUGGAUAAUCAAACCCCUCAUCCAGGCCCAUGUGGGAAAUAAUGUGGACAUUUACUACAGUACAAUUGAAAUGAGGGGCGAGCACAAAUUAACCUCUGGUAACAGUGAAGGGGCUCAUUGUGAUAGGAAUCAUAAAUUUUUAAUUGUUCACCAGCAGCAAUAUUUUAAAAGCAUGUAAAAACAAAAUUAUGAGCUGACCCACACUACUACUGGGACGCGGCCACAGUUUAAACAAAGCAGGAAUCAAAGAAUGUCACUUCAAUGUUCAAAGCCAACAGAUUUUCCGAGAAAUAUGUGUUUAUAUAUAUAUUUUUCUGUUAGUACACUGAGCUGCAUAAUUAUGUUUCUUCUAUUUUCGUCAGGUAUAUGUGAUGAUGCUGUAUAAUUCAGCAGACUAAGGAUGGGCACUUUGAAGAACACUUUGAUAGCAUAUGGUUAUCCCCUGCUGGCUCACACUCUCUGCUCUGUAGGGGGCCCAGACGGGAUGUAUUCAGAACUUUCUGGACUCUGCAAACUUUUCACUUCGCUAAAACGGAAGGAUUACACCCUGUUCACAGCAGGGAGAACAGCAUGCAUCCAAGAAUCUCCCCUUGAGCCACUGUAAUCUCCAGUUUGCACCCUGAAGACAGACCCCAACGUCCCCUCAAAAACAAGCCAAGGCUCAGAUGGCAGAGAAAGGGUGCAGGAGACUAAAUCAAGCUGUCAGAAACCAGACUGCACAGCUAAACGGUGCAGACUGAAAUGCCACCUGUCCACAGCUUCUGGUAAUUUAUUAUUUCCCCAUUUAUUUGUUUCUAUAGUAGCAACUUGGGCACUCGUAUGUGCCCCUACAAAUUCGGCUUAUCGUUCUCAUCUAUGCAGAGGUUUGAGUUGUUUCUCAGCAGCUAAGGUUGUGAUUUCCUCCAUUAUCUAAUCAGACACUUAAGAUUUGGUUUACAGCAUUUGUCAAUGGUAUUACACUGAGGUCAGUCCAGAGCAUUCUUCCCAAAUGAGGCAUUUUGGUUAAUCCGAUUCUCUUACCCACCCCCCCCAGUUUUCUUGGGAGCCCAUCUCAUCUCAGCGAGGGGCUUGAUGGCUGCCCACCUAGAGCUCAGGCUUACGUGCAGGCCAGAAUGAGGCGGGAGUAAGGGCUUUAAAGGCUCUAUUAUUCAUCCCCGUCAUUAGCUACAGUAUGUGGCACAAGGAAAGGCUGCAAUGCCUCUGCUGCUGUCUGGCUAUUAGAACAUUCCUCAUCCAUGGUAUCACCACUUCACACUCACUUGAUGUGCUACUUUUCAAACAUUUUUUAUUUUUAGCUCAAAUACCUGAAUGAGUUCGAUAUUCUGCGAGGAAGGGGGUGGUCUGCCGACAGUGUAUUGUGCUCAUACAUGUGGGUCGUUUUUCAAGAGCCUCAGGUCAGCCGAGGGUCAGGAUUACAGCGGAGCAGUUGACCAUGGGUUGCUUCACUGUAAUCCUUUCACCUUUGACCCCACUCCCACUACGCCAUCCAUGUGCAGCUUUAGGUCACGGCUAAUCAUGACACUCACACAGACGGAGACGCUCACGGCCACAGAGUGUGUCCGUGUGCUCGUGGGUUUGUGUGUGUGUGUGAGCGGGAGAAGAUAACAGCGCGGCUGUUUAUGUUUUGGCCGCUUCUGCGUUGCAGAGCAGGAGGAGCUGCUGUGGAGGGUUUCUGUCCUCGUUAUGUGUCAAUAUUUGUUCGGAAAUGUUUGUUAGAGAUAGAAAUGCAGGGUCCUCCGUGUAUUAUUACGAUCCUAUAGAUGUAUGUUAUGUUGUGUUUUGUUUCGUUUUUUUAUGUUCCAGUGUGACGGGGCUGAUGCAUCAAAAUACAACAAUAUCCUGGAGUCAGAGCACUUGUAAAUCCUUCGUCAUCGUAUUCGUUCAAAAUUUAUACAGAAUUCUGAAUUCUAUUAAACUGUAAACUUGAGCUUCUUUCAUCUUAGCUGUGCUUGUCAGCCUCAGUCCACUCUGGUAGUUGUAUUUUUAACUUUUUAAUGAAACAAACUGAUGUUUUGUCCCCUUCGAUUAUUUCGUCUAAUAGAGGCCAUAGAAUCACUUCAGUUGUCUGCAUUUAAAUAUUGCCCCAGAAAACAGGGCCACUCAAACACCUCCCCCUACUUUGCAACUAUUGUGCAGUGACAAAUGAAUCUGUUGUUUCUGUGUGUGUGUUUUUUUUUAAGUUGAAGUUCUACAUCUUAGAAGAAUUUCAUCUAGCUAAAGUUCUUUUCUUAUUAGUAAAUAGCCAUGUUUCCUCAACUCUCGUCUUGUAGAAUUGUGUUCACGACCAGAGCCAAUGGGUUUGUUUGUUCUUCAGAGUCGUGUUUCGUUUACGGUUCACAACU